rnacentral:rRNA from 1 species
GACGAACGCUGGCGGCGUGCUUAACACAUGCAAGUCGAACGGAAAGGCCCUGCUUUUGUGGGGUGCUCGAGUGGCGAACGGGUGAGUAACACGUGAGUAACCUGCCCUUGACUUUGGGAUAACUUCAGGAAACUGGGGCUAAUACCGGAUAGGAGCUCCUGCUGCAUGGUGGGGGUUGGAAAGUUUCGGCGGUUGGGGAUGGACUCGCGGCUUAUCAGCUUGUUGGUGGGGUAGUGGCUUACCAAGGCUUUGACGGGUAGCCGGCCUGAGAGGGUGACCGGCCACAUUGGGACUGAGGUACGGCCCAGACUCCUACGGGAGGCAGCAGUGGGGAAUAUUGCACAAUGGGCGGAAGCCUGAUGCAGCAACGCCGCGUGCGGGAUGACGGCCUUCGGGUUGUAAACCGCUUUCGCCUGUGACGAAGCGUGAGUGACGGUAAUGGGUAAAAGAGCACCGGCUAACUACGUG